rnacentral:rRNA from 1 species
GAUUAUGGCUCAGAACGAACGCUGGCGGCGCGUCUUAAGCAUGCAAGUCGAACGGCAAGAGGUAGCAAUACCUCCUAGAGUGGCGGACUGGUGAGUAACACGUGGGUGACAUACCCUUCAGAUGGGGAUAGCUAUUAGAAAUAGUAGAUAAUACCGAAUACGAGCACAGGGGUUAGAGAUCUGUGAGGAAAGGAGCUAAGGCUCCGCUGAAGGAAUGGCCUGCGGCCCAUUAGCUAGUUGGUGAGGUAAGAGCCCACCAAGGCGAUGAUGGGUAUCCGGCCUUAGAGGGUGAACGGACACAUUGGGACUGAGAUACGGCCCAGACUCCUACGGGAGGCAGCAGCUAAGAAUAUUCCGCAAUGGACGAAAGUCUGACGGAGCGACGCCCGCGUGGAUGAAGAAGGCCGGAAGGUUGUAAAAUCCUUUUGAAACUGAAGAAUAAGCGUUGUAGGGAAUGACGGCGUGGUGACAGUAGGUUUUGAAUAAGCAACGGCUAAUUACGUGCCAGCCGCGGC